AUGACCUCGAGGUGCGAACAUGAGGAUAUGGUAUUCGGAAUCACCCCUGUGAUGGAAUUCAUGCUAAGGUCUAUGACCUUGAGGCGUGAACAUGACGAUAUGGUAGUCGGAAUCACCCCCGUGAUUGAAUUCAUCCUAAGGUCGAUGACCUCGAGGAGGGUGCAUGACGAUAUGCUAUUUGGAAUCAUCCCUGUAAUGGAAUUCAUGCUAAGGUUGAGGUACCUGAGUUGGGUUAGGCGGCUUAUCUCGGGAGGUAUGUGGCCAUUGAUUUGGUUGUCUGCCAUGUGGGUUUCAUGGAGGAAAAGAAGGUCAGAAAUGCAAGGAAAUAUUUGGCCGGUGAUGUUCAAAGAAUCAAGAUGA
rnacentral:rRNA from 1 species